AGAGUUUGAUCCUGGCUCAGGAUGAACGCUGGCGGCGUGCUUAACACAUGCAAGUCGAGCGAAGCACUUUACUUGGAUUUCUUCGGAAUGACGAGUAUUGUGACUGAGCGGCGGACGGGUGAGUAACGCGUGGGUAACCUGCCUCAUACAGGGGGAUAACAGUUAGAAAUGACUGCUAAUACCGCAUAAGACCACAGCACCGCAUGGUGCAGGGGUAAAAACUCCGGUGGUAUGAGAUGGACCCGCGUCUGAUUAGCUGGUUGGUGGGGUAACGGCCUACCAAGGCGACGAUCAGUAGCCGGCCUGAGAGGGCGACCGGCCACAUUGGGACUGAGACACGGCCCAAACUCCUACGGGAGGCAGCAGUGGGGAAUAUUGCACAAUGGGGGAAACCCUGAUGCAGCGACGCCGCGUGAAGGAAGAAGUAUUUCGGUAUGUAAACUUCUAUCAGCAGGGAAGAAAAUGACGGUACCUGACUAAGAAGCCCCGGCUAACUACGUGCCAGCAGCCGCGGUAAUACGUAGGGGGCAAGCGUUAUCCGGAUUUACUGGGUGUAAAGGGAGCGUAGACGGAGAGGCAAGUCUGAUGUGAAAACCCGGGGCUCAACCCCGGGACUGCAUUGGAAACUGUUUUUCUAGAGUGUCGGAGAGGUAAGCGGAAUUCCUAGUGUAGCGGUGAAAUGCGUAGAUAUUAGGAGGAACACCAGUGGCGAAGGCGGCUUACUGGACGAUGACUGACGUUGAGGCUCGAAAGCGUGGGGAGCAAACAGGAUUAGAUACCCUGGUAGUCCACGCCGUAAACGAUGACUACUAGGUGUCGGGUGGCAAAGCCAUUCGGUGCCGCAGCC
rnacentral:rRNA from 1 species